UACGUAGGGUGCAAGCGUUGUCCGGAAUUAUUGGGCGUAAAGAGCUCGUAGGCGGUUCGUCGCGUCGGCUGUGAAAACCUGAGGCUCAACCUCAGGCCUGCAGUCGAUACGGGCGGACUUGAGUACUGCAGGGGAGACUGGAAUUCCUGGUGUAGCGGUGAAAUGCGUAGAUAUCUGGAAGAACACCAAAGGCGAAGGCAGUGUCCUGGGUGGUCGCUGACGCUGAGAGGCGAAAGCCAGGGGAGCGAACGGG
rnacentral:rRNA from 1 species